rnacentral:rRNA from 1 species
AGAAUGAACGUUGGCGGCGUGGAUUAGGCAUGCAAGUCGUACGGGCCGCAAGGCCAGUGGCGCAAGGGUGAGUAAGGCGACGGUAACCAACCCCAUGACUGGGUAUAGCCGCGGGAAACUGCGGGUAAUCCCCAGCGACGUCCCGGGGGGCAUCCCCUGGGGACCAAAGCUCCGGCGUCGUGGGACGGGCUGUCGUGGUAUUAGGUAGUUGGCGGGGUAAUGGCCCACCAAGCCUGCGAUGCCUACCGGGCGUGCGAGCGUGGCCCGGCACACUGGGACUGAGACACUGCCCAGACUCCUACGGGAGGCUGCAGUCGAGAAUCUUCGGCAAUGGGCGCAAGCCUGACCGAGCGACGCCGCGUGGAGGAUGAAGGCCUUCGGGUUGUAAACUCCUGUCGAGGGGGAAGAAGGGUCGAAAGACCUUGACUGAUCCCGUGGAGGAAGCACGGGCUAAGUUCGUGCCAGCAGCCGC